rnacentral:rRNA from 1 species
GGGGGCCCGCAAGCGGUGGAGCAUGUGGUUCAAUUCGACGCAACGCGAAAAACCUUACCUGGGCUCGAAAUGUAGUGGACCGGGGUGGAAACAUCCCUUUCCCGCAAGGGACUGCUAUAUAGGUGCUGCAUGGCUGUCGUCAGCUCGUGUCGUGAGAUGUUGGGUUAAGUCCCGCAACGAGCGCAACCCUUAUCGUUAGUUGCCAGCGAGUCAAGUCGGGCACUCUAGCGAAACCGCGCGGGAUAACCGCGAGGAAGGUGGGGAUGACGUCAAGUCCUCAUGGCCUUUAUGUCCAGGGCUACACACGUGCUGCAAUGGUCGGUACAAACCGUCCCAAACCUGCGAAGGGGAGCUAAUCGGAAAAAGCCGGCCUCAGUUCGGAUUGGAGUCUGCAACUCCACUCCAUGAAGCUGGAAUCGCUAGUAAUCGCAGAUCAGAACGCUGCGGUGAAUACGUUCCCGGGCCUUGUACACCCC